rnacentral:rRNA from 1 species
UACGUAGGGGGCAAGCGUUAUCCGGAUUUACUGGGUGUAAAGGGAGCGCAGACGGCGAGACAAGUCUGAUGUGAAAGCCCGCGGCUCAACUGCGGGACUGCAUUGGAAACUGUUUUGCUGGAGUAUCGGAGAGGUAAGCGGAAUUCCUGGUGUAGCGGUGAAAUGCGUAGAUAUCAGGAGGAACACCGGUGGCGAAGGCGGCUUACUGGACGACAACUGACGUUGAGGCUCGAAAGCGUGGGGAG